GAGGCAAGUGCUGUUCUCAUCCCUGUUUUACAGACGAGGAACCCGAGACACAACUGCAGGCCACGCAGCGGCUGGUACUUGGCUGUCCUACCCCAUCCGCUCUGGUGCAGACAAACGGACUUUCUGUCUCUAUGAAGUUGCCUCUUCUGGACACUCGAAAUGAGUGCAAUCAUACCGCCUGUGCCAUUCAGUGUCCAGCUCAUGUCACUUGGCUGAUGUCCUGAAGAUUUAUCCACAGUGCAGCGUAUGUCAGAACUUCGUUUGUUUUACGGCUAGAAUAUAUUCCAUUGUAUAGCUGUGUUCCAUUAUGUUUACCCACUCAUCUGCUGAUGGACUUUGGGGCUGUUUUCCGCCUUUUGGCUAUUGUGACUUGUCCUGCUGUGAACAUUCAUGAGCCAGUUUUUGUUUGAA